UACGUAGGGGGCAAGCGUUGUCCGGAAUCAUUGGGCGUAAAGAGCGCGUAGGCGGCCCGAUAAGUCCGCUGUGAAAGUCAAGGGCUCAACCCUUGAAUGCCGGUGGAUACUGUCGGGCUAGAGUCCGGAAGAGGCGAGUGGAAUUCCUGGUGUAGCGGUGAAAUGCGCAGAUAUCAGGAGGAACACCCGUGGCGAAGGCGGCUCUCUGGGACGGUACUGACGCUGAGACGCGAAAGCGUGGGGAGCGAACAGG
rnacentral:rRNA from 1 species